ACGACCUUAUUUAGUUAAGAUCGAGAAAAAUCUCCGGUGGAUAGUCUUUAGGCAAAUGGAUUCCGUCGAGGUUGCCACUGAGGAACGGACUCCACUUCUCAACUCCGAGGUCGAAGAGAUCCUCCCCACUCAAUCCGAUGCUCCGGCGAAGCCCGACCCUAUUGGACGUCGUCUCGUCUCGCUCGACGUCUUCCGUGGCCUCACCGUCGCUCUGAUGAUUCUUGUGGAUGAUGCCGGCGGGGCGUUCCCGGUGAUUAACCACUCGCCGUGGUUCGGUGUGACGCUGGCGGACUUUGUGAUGCCCUUCUUCCUCUUUGGCGUUGGGGUCUCCAUCGCCCUUGUCUGCAAGAAAAUUCCUAAUAAAGUGGUUUCCACGAAUAAGGUUAUAGUGAGGACAGUCAAGCUGUUUCUUCUGGGUUUAAUAUUGCAAGGUGGUUAUUUUCAUGGUCGUGACAGUUUGACUUAUGGAGUUGAUAUAGAUCGAAUUCGAUGGCUAGGUGUGCUGCAGAGAAUAUCCAUUGGAUAUUUUUUAGCAGCAAUGUCGGAAAUAUGGCUCGUGAGCAAUAUCUCUGUGGAUUCUCCAAUGUCGUUUGUGAAAAAAUACUGUAUUGAAUGGGUUGUUGCCAUCUUGCUAUCUUCUUUGUAUGUUGGCUUGGUUUAUGGUCUCCAUGUUCCUAACUGGACUUUUGAACUUCCAAGCACUAAUUCCACCUUGUCCAUACCGAGUUAUGGAGGCAGAGCUGAAACUGUUCAAUGUGGAGUGAGAGGUAGCCUUGAGCCUCCUUGCAAUGCUGUAGGUUUGAUAGACAGACUUCUCCUUGGUGAGAGACAUCUUUAUCAGCGCCCUGUCUAUAGAAGGACGAAGGACUGCAGUAUUAAUUCUCCUGAUUAUGGGCCUCUUCCACCAAAUUCACCAGUAUGGUGUCUUGCUCCAUUUGAUCCUGAGGGUAUUUUGAGCUCAUUGAUGGCUUCCAUAACAUGCUUUGCUGGAUUGCAUUUUGGUCACUUUAUUGUGCACUAUAAGAGUCAUGCACAGAGAUUGCUAUUGUGGUCAAUGAAUUCCUUGGUAUUUUUCUUAUGUGGAUAUAUUGUGCAGUUCCUAGGUAUGCCUUUUAGCAAACCAUUGUACACCUUGAGCUACAUGUUUCUUACAACCGGGGCAUCUGGGUUUCUUUUGACUCUGAUAUACUACAUUGUUGACUCUAAAGGUUUUAGGAAGCCAUUCAUAUUACUUCAAUGGAUGGGCAUGAAUGCACUCAUUGUCUAUGCUUUGGCUGCUUGCGAACUGUUUCCAGCAGCUAUGCAAGGUUUCUAUUGGCGCUCACCUUCAAACAACCUGGUCAAAGCAAAGGCACUCAUAAUCUCUCCUGGGCCAGUGCCUUCAUUUCUUUUGGUAAAGAUAAAGGUAAACUCAUUGUAUCCAACCAUGUUUACCGAUAAAUUUGAUAUUGUUUUCUUUGUCUAAAUUCACAGGAUAUUCUUCUCCCACCAUGGAAGCCUUUUCCAAUUGUACCAUUUUUCUGAUGAUAAGGAAGAAGACCUCAGCCCAUAUUCUCCAGGUCACAAAAGACAUAAAGUUCGAGCACAGCUGUUGCUAUGGAUGCCUCGGAAGCUCACAAUAGUCAGGCGACAUUCGUCUCCGGCUCAUGGAUCAUAGAUGCAACAGCUCAAAGCGGCAGUAAAGCCGGAAACACAGCGUAUCAUCAACACUCUGGCGCGGUGGCACAGCGGGCAUUGUUCGGGCUGAACAAACGUCGGACGGGCAGUCGGAAAAUCGGUGGCAGAGAUGCCAGGACUCCCAGCAGGUUGAGCAGGGUUUCAGUUGCUGAUGAGGACAACAACUAGUUUCUAUUAGUUUGUUUGUUGAUUAAUCCCUUUGUAGCAAUAUAUAUAUAUAUAUAUAUAUAUAUAAUCUUAUCAGUUCAAGAUUAAGUGUUCUUGCUCUGUAUUGUCUAAUAGAGAUUAAACAAAAUUAGCUCCUCUUGAA